AACGAACGCUGGCGGCGUGCCUAACACAUGCAAGUCGAACGAAGCCUUCGGGCUUAGUGGCGCACGGGUGCGUAACGCGUGGGAAUCUGCCCUUUGGUUCGGAAUAACAGUUGGAAACGACUGCUAAUACCGGAUGAUGACGAAAGUCCAAAGAUUUAUCGCCAGAGGAUGAGCCCGCGUAGGAUUAGCUAGUUGGUGUGGUAAAGGCGCACCAAGGCGACGAUCCUUAGCUGGUCUGAGAGGAUGAUCAGCCACACUGGGACUGAGACACGGCCCAGACUCCUACGGGAGGCAGCAGUGGGGAAUACUGGACAAUGGGCGAAAGCCUGAUCCAGCAAUGCCGCGUGAGUGAUGAAGGCCCUAGGGUUGUAAAGCUCUUUUACCCGGGAUGAUAAUGACAGUACCGGGAGAAUAAGCCCCGGCUAACUCCGUGCCAGCAGCCGCCGUAA
rnacentral:rRNA from 1 species